UGAUAACGGAUCGUGAAACAUGUAAGGAUAGGCAUCGCGUUGUUGUAAGCAUGACGGGGUCAUUGAUCCUAAUGAGGAGCUGUCAACGUAAACGGCUGUAGGCUGCUUUGUAAGUCGGACUUUGGUAGGCAUAGACAUAAUCAAAUCGUUACGCAAAAAAAUCGUUUCGCAAAAAAAGUGCCAAGUAGACAAGUUUUAUACCCUAGCAGUGGAAGUAUUGAGACAUUCUGUGUCUACCAUAAACCAUGUACAUAUCUAAACAGCAGAGUCGAUAUAGUUAAGUCCCGUAUGUCCCUAAUAUAGCUGCCAAGGCAAUAAUAUAAAAACAUUAAAAAGGA
rnacentral:sRNA from 1 species